rnacentral:rRNA from 1 species
GACGGAGGAUGCAAGCGUUAUCCGGGAUGAUUGGGCGUAAAGCGUCCGCAGGUGGCAGUUCAAGUCUGCUGUCAAAGACCGGGGCUUAACUUCGGAAAGGCAGUGGAAACUGAACAGCUAGAGUAUGGUAGGGGCAGAGGGAAUUCCUGGUGUAGCGGUGAAAUGCGUAGAUAUCAGGAAGAACAUCGGUGGCGAAGGCGCUCUGCUGGACCAUAACUGACGCUGAGGAGCGAAAGCAUGGGGAGCGAACAGG